rnacentral:tRNA from 4 species
AGGCGCGUAGCUCAGUUGGUUAGAGCGCUUCCUUGACACGGAAGAGGUCGUUGGUUCGAAUCCAAUCGUGCCUACCA